rnacentral:misc_RNA from 1 species
GAUGAAGAACGUAGCGAAAUGCGAUAAGUAGUGUGAAUUGCAGAAUUCAGUGAAUCAUCGAAUCUUUGAACGCACAUUGCGCCCGCCAGUAUUCUGGCGGGCAUGCCUGUUCGAGCGUCAUUUCAACCAUCAAGCCCCCGGCUUGUGUUGGGGACCUGCGGCUGCCGCAGGCCAUGAAAAGCAGUGGCGGGCUCGCUGUCACACCGAGCGUAGUAGCAUACAUCUCGCUCUGGGCGUGCUGCGGGUUCCGGCCGUUAAACCACCUUCAUAACCCAAGGUUGACCUCGGAUCAGGUAGGAAGACCCGCUGAACUUAAGCAUAUCAAUAAGCGGAGGA